CCCCGGCCGUGCCCGGCCCCGCCCGGGCUUUGCUUUCCCGAGGCUGCGCCGAGGGAAAACUGAACACGGGGCUGGCGAUGUACGCGGGCAGGUCUCCUCGGCUCGUGGUGCCCUAUGCCGUGGCUCAGGAGCCGUAUUGUCUACAGUAUUGUUAGGAAGAACGUUUGCAAGCGUGCAAAAUUGUCAUAGCUUCGUGUUUGGAUUACUUAAAUGUUCAGGAGAGGGUGAGGGGAGAAGCCCCCGUGCUAGAUGCUGUGACGGCACGAUACAAACGCUUGCUGCGUGCCGCGUUAACGGUUUCAGAAGCUGAUUUAAAACAUAAAGGUCAAAUUCUUCCCUCGAUUUCACCUGAGCAGCAAAAGUGAGGCUGUGAAGGUUUUAUCUUAAGUAGCACAGUCAUUACCGUGUGAUCAAGUGAGGAAAGGGCCGAGCAGAUAGCUACGCUGGCGUGCUGAAUGGCUCACCGCAGCACCGUGCACACAGUUUAUUGUUUUCUUAGCAACCGCGACGCGGUGGACAUCUUACAGCCAAAAUAGCCCUGGCUCCAGCUCCCAGAAGAUUACAGCCUGGUCAGUGCGGGAAAAUCCCUGUGACUUGGUGUAGGGACCGUUGCCAUCAGAUUAGUGAAUGCUUAAGGUAAUAAACCAGCUGCUGAAAUAAGGUUAAAGAAGGCAAGGAGAUAGGGAGCUGAUGGAAAGUAAUAAAUGGACGUAGAAAUCAGGUAAAGGAAAGAAGGUCUCUGGGCUGAGCUGAGCAGUUGCAUGGAAAGUAAAAUACUACACAGCAACUGAGAAACAUCUUUUCCUUAUAAUGUCCACUUUGUGAGGCUACUCAACUGCGACAAGAGAAACACAUAACUGCUCUAAAGGGUCUGGCUCCAGGAAAUAGAUGUUUUUUUUCCUAUGAAAGCGAGUGAAUGUUUUCUUAUUUUCAGGAGCUAAUUAUAACUCCAGUCCAUGCUCUUGGGAUGGCUUUGACCCCUUUGCCCUGAUAACUGCAGUUUAAAGUGUGAAUGUGGCAGUUGAAGAUCACGGAGUGCUUGCAGCGCUCUCAGCCUGUCCCUCAGAACAGCACCGAAAUAGCCGCGUCAGUUCCAAUCGUCGGUCUGGUUGUUAGAAGUGUUCAUAGCCACUUUUUGACAAAGUGCACCACAGUACCAAGAAAUUACCCUGUUACAAUAUACUGGGGAAGAGAUGGGCCGUCCGUCCCUGGCUGUAAUGCUAAAUAUCUUGUUACAAUUCCUGUGGGAUGUAUACUCUUCAGUGUGGAUUUCAGAGACCCCUUUCACAAAAUACCUAGAAGUCUGAUGCUGUGAAAAAGCUUCUGAAUUUACACAUUGCAACAGAAGCUGGUUUAAAGAGCGUGCAAAGUAAAUGGCUGGUUGUCCUACUGAGAGAUGCUUCCAUGGAUGUGGCUUCCAUGGCAAAGAAAAGUGUCCUUGCAAUGAAAAUCCCGAAGUAGGAGCAGGCCUGUGGUCCUCUCUGGAAAUAAACAACACACUUGCCAUGCUGAGUCAUGUAGAUCUGUCACCAAAGAAAAGAGCCCUGAGUGAGAGCUGAACUAAUGGCAGGAUUCAGAGACUUGUGAAGAGCACAGCCUUGUCAACUGAAACUUGUGUGUGCUGCAACAACUCGUGAAAAGCACUGAAAUCGAAGAAGCUACUUGCAAAUUAUGCUGCUGCUCUGAUGCAUUUGUACAUCAAGGUGGGAUAGCAGGGUCUCCAACGGUUCAACCAACCAGGAUGUCCUUAUGACUACAGACAGUGCUGUUCCUCUCGCCACAAAGUUAAGCGAUGGAGGUAACCUGCCACAGGAUGCAAAAGCUCCUUACAGGCCAUAGAUAGGGAUCAUUAAAGCUGGAAGAUUUUUGCUGAAAGAGGCAGAACAUCAGCAUUCAGAAAGCACUCAAGCUGAGGGAGCCCCAUACAGAAGGAACUGCGAUCUUCAGCCCAGUAACA